rnacentral:rRNA from 1 species
UGGGGAAUAUUGCGCAAUGGGCGAAAGCCUGACGCAGCGACGCCGCGUGAGGGAUGAAGGUCUUCGGAUCGUAAACCUCUGUCAGAAGGGAAGAAACCGGAGCGUGCUAAUCAGCGCUCCAUUGACGGUACCUUCAAAGGAAGCACCGGCUAACUCCGUGCCAGCAGCCGCGGUAAUACGGAGGGUGCAAGCGUUAAUCGGAAUCACUGGGCGCAAAGCGCACGUAGGCUGUUGCGUAAGUCAGGGGUGAAAUCCCACGGCUCAACCGUGGAACUGCCCUUGAUACUGCGUGACUAGAAUCCGGGAGAGGGUGGCGGAAUUCCUGGUGUAGGAGUGAAAUCCGUAGAUAUCAGGAGGAACAUCAGUGGCGAAGGCGGCCACCUGACCGGUAUU